rnacentral:rRNA from 1 species
UACGUAGGUGGCGAGCGUUGUCCGGAUUUACUGGGCGUAAAGAGCGCGCAGGCGGUCGUCCAAGUCGCGUGUGAAAGCCCCCGGCUCAACUGGGGAGGGUCACGCGAUACUGAUCGACUCGAAGGCAGGAGAGGGUAGUGGAAUUCCCGGUGUAGUGGUGAAAUGCGUAGAUAUCGGGAGGAACACCAGUGGCGAAGGCGACUACCCGGCCUGUUCUUGACGCUGAGGCGCGAAAGCUAGGGGAGCAAACGGG